AGAGUUUGAUCUUGGCUCAGGACGAACGCUGGCGGCGUGCCUAAUACAUGCAAGUAGAACGCUGAAGAGAGGAGCUUGCUCUUCUUGGAUGAGUUGCGAACGGGUGAGUAACGCGUAGGUAACCUGCCUUGUAGCGGGGGAUAACUAUUGGAAACGAUAGCUAAUACCGCAUAACAAUGGAUGACCCAUGUCAUUUAUUUGAAAGGGGCAAAUGCUCCACUACAAGAUGGACCUGCGUUGUAUUAGCUAGUAGGUGAGGUAACGGCUCACCUAGGCGACGAUACAUAGCCGACCUGAGAGGGUGAUCGGCCACACUGGGACUGAGACACGGCCCAGACUCCUACGGGAGGCAGCAGUAGGGAAUCUUCGGCAAUGGGGGCAACCCUGACCGAGCAACGCCGCGUGAGUGAAGAAGGUUUUCGGAUCGUAAAGCUCUGUUGUAAGUCAAGAACGAGUGUGAGAGUGGAAAGUUCACACUGUGACGGUAGCUUACCAGAAAGGGACGGCUAACUACGUGCCAGCAGCCGCGGUAAUACGUAGGUCCCGAGCGUUGUCCGGAUUUAUUGGGCGUAAAGCGAGCGCAGGCGGUUUGAUAAGUCUGAAGUUAAAGGCUGUGGCUCAACCAUAGUUCGCUUUGGAAACUGUCAAACUUGAGUGCAGAAGGGGAGAGUGGAAUUCCAUGUGUAGCGGUGAAAUGCGUAGAUAUAUGGAGGAACACCGGUGGCGAAAGCGGCUCUCUGGUCUGUAACUGACGCUGAGGCUCGAAAGCGUGGGGAGCGAACAGGAUUAGAUACCCUGGUAGUCCACGCCGUAAACGAUGAGUGCUAGGUGUUGGAUCCUUUCCGGGAUUCAGUGCCGCAGCUAACGCAUUAAGCACUCCGCCUGGGGAGUACGACCGCAAGGUUGAAACUCAAAGGAAUUGACGGGGGCCCGCACAAGCGGUGGAGCAUGUGGUUUAAUUCGAAGCAACGCGAAGAACCUUACCAGGUCUUGACAUCCCGAUGCUAUUUCUAGAGAUAGAAAGUUACUUCGGUACAUCGGUGACAGGUGGUGCAUGGUUGUCGUCAGCUCGUGUUGUGAGAUGUUGGGUUAAGUCCCGCAACGAGCGCAACCCCUAUUGUUAGUUGCCAUCAUUCAGUUGGGCACUCUAGCGAGACUGCCGGUAAUAAACCGGAGGAAGGUGGGGAUGACGUCAAAUCAUCAUGCCCCUUAUGACCUGGGCUACACACGUGCUACAAUGGUUGGUACAACGAGUUGCGAGUCGGUGACGGCAAGCUAAUCUCUUAAAGCCAAUCUCAGUUCGGAUUGUAGGCUGCAACUCGCCUACAUGAAGUCGGAAUCGCUAGUAAUCGCGGAUCAGCACGCCGCGGUGAAUACGUUCCCGGGCCUUGUACACACCGCCCGUCACACCACGAGAGUUUGUAACACCCGAAGUCGGUGAGGUAACCUUUUGGAGCCAGCCGCCUAAGGUGGGAUAGAUGAUUGGGGUGAAGUCGUAACAAGGUA
rnacentral:rRNA from 1 species